UGUAACACACAACAUUGGCAGGCAGCUCCGAGCUGGAGUAGAGAAACAACACAUCUAGCAGAUAACGGAAUUAUAUAAGUAUUAAAAUAUAUUGUCACCAGUAUAUUACCGAAUGUUGUUAAGUAGUUAAUCAAUGUAGAUGCGAUAGGUAACAUUAACCCUCAACAUUUCUUAGCUGGCACAAGCUAGUUAGCUCGGAGCUAGCUUUAUUUGAUAAUUAUUGGAAAGUCUGGCAAGUGGUAGCUAGGUUUCUUAUAGCCAUGUAGCUAGCAAACUGUUUGUCAAUUGAUAUUUAACAUUACAGUAGCUAACUCGACGUUAAAAUAUGUACAUUCAUUCAUCAUCAUUUGAUUUACAAGGCGAGCGAAAAUCUAUGUAUAAACAGUCUGAAAAUAGCUUCUUCAAAUGUGGUGAAAAGACAAGCCCUAUCAGUGUAAUUUUGGUUACUUCGGGUAGCCGAGGGAACAAAUUGCUCUUUAGGUACCCAUUUCAACGGGUUGCAGAUUGCACAUCAUCACUCACGACAAAACAGCGAAGUCCAUAUGCAUUGAACACUACAGGAGAUGUUCUUGAAGACCCAGAUGGAGAUUCAAGAGAACAAACUCCAUUAACUGAUCAACAGUUGGUAGCAGGGUUCUCUGACAUCAUCCUUGCCACUAUCUUGGCCACCAAGUCUGAUAUGUGUGGGAAGAAGUUUGAGCUGAAGAUAGACAAUGUGCGUUUCGUUGGGCACCCCACCCUCCUCCAGCAUCCUCACACCAUUCAGGUGUCCAAGACAGACCCCUCACCUAAGAGGGAGAUGCCCACCAUGAUCCUGUUCAGUGUUGUGUUUGCUCUGAGGGCCAACGCCGACCCGUCCGUCAUCAGCUGCAUGCACAACCUGUCCCGGCGUAUCGCCAUCGCCCUGCAGCACGAGGAGUGCCGCUGCCAGUACCUCACCAGAGAGGCCAAGCUGAUGCUGGCCAUGCAGGACGAGGUCACCAACAUGACCGAGACUGAUGGCAGCCCUCAGUCACCGUUCAGACAAAUCCUUCCUAAAUGCAAGCUUGCCAGGGACUUGAAGGAGGCAUAUGACAGCCUGUGUACAACCGGGGUGGUGAGGCUCCAUAUCAACAACUGGCUGGAGGUGAGCUUCUGUUUACCUCACAAGAUCCACCGGGUAGGGGGCAACCACGUACCCCCAGAGGCUCUGGAGCGUAGCCUCAAGGCCAUAAGGCCGUAUCAUGCUCUGCUGUUGCUGGACAGUGAGAAGGCUCUGCUGGCCCAGCUGCCUUUGGAUUGCUCUCCUGCUCUGGUGCGCCUCAUUAAGACCUGCUCUGCAGUCAAGAACCUGCAGCAGCUGGCACAGGAUGCAGACCUGAACCUGCUACAGAUCUUCCAGAUUGCUGCUCACCUGGUGUACUGGGGAAAAGCCAUCAUAGUGUACCCUCUGUGUGAGAACAAUGUCUACAUGCUGUCCCCACACGCCAACAUCAGCCUGUACUCUCCAUUGGCUGAGGCGUUUGGCCAGCAGUUCCCAGGUCAUGACCUGCCUUCCAUGCUGGCCAAGUUCUCCCUGCCGCUCUCACUGUCUGAGUUUAGGAACCCACUGGAUGCGUCUGUGCAGGAGGCCCAGCUGAUCCAGAUGGUGGUGUGGAUGCUCCAGCGGCGCCUGCUGAUCCAGCUCCAUACCUUUGUGUGUCUGCUGGUCCCCCCCAGUGAGGAGGAGCCAGGUCUGCUGCGGGACGAGGAGCUCCCCCUGGUGGCCCGGGUGGGGGGACGCAGCCUCAGCACGCCCAGCGCACUCAGCUUCGGAUCUCCAACCAGCAGUGAUGACAUGACCCUGACCAGUCCCAGUAUGGAUAACUCCAGUGCAGAACUGCUUCCUGGUGGAGACUCUCCACUAAACAGGAGGAUGACCGAGACGUUACUGGCCAGCCUGACAGAGCACGAGCGCCAGGUCAUCCUCAAUAUCCCAGCUGCACAAAAUCCUGAAGACCUGCGCAUGUUUGCCAGGCUACUGCACUACUUCCGAGGGCACCAUCACCUGGAGGAGAUCAUGUAUAAUGAAAACAUGAGGCGAUCUCAGCUGAAGACCCUCUUUGACAAAUUCAGAAGUGUUCUGGUGGUCACCAACCAUGAGGACCCUGUCAUCUCCCUCUUCCAGUCUCCUCUGGAGUAGAGGUCUGUCAUCUCCCUCUUCCAAUCUCCUCUGGAGUAGAGGUCUGUCAUCUCCCUCUUCCAGUCUCCUCUGGAGUAGAGGUCUGUCAUCUCCCUCUUCCACUCUCCUCUGGAGUAGAGGUCUGUCAUCUCCCUCUUCCACUCUCCUCUGGAGUAGAGGUCUGUCAUCUCCCUCUUCCAGUCUCCUCUGGAGUAGAGGUCUGUCAUCUCCCUCUUCCAGUCUCCUCUGGAUUAGAGGUCUGUCAUCUCCCUCUUCCAGUCUCCUCUGGAUUAGAGGUCUGUCAUCUCCCUCUUCCAGUCUCCUCUGGAUUAGAGGUCUGUCAUCUCCCUCUUCCAGUCUCCUCUGGAUUAGAGGUCUGUCAUCUCCCUCUUCCAGUCUCCUCUGGAUUAGAGGUCUGUCAUCUCCCUCUUCCAGUCUCCUCUGGAUUAGAGGUCUGUCAUCUCCCUCUUCCAGUCUCCUCUGGAUUAGAGGUCUGUCAUCUCCCUCUUCCACUCUCCUCUGGAGUAGAGGUCUGUCAUCUCCCUCUUCCACUCUCCUCUGGAGUAGAGGUCUGUCAUCUCCCUCUUCCAGUCUCCUCUGGAGUAGAGGUCUGUCAUCUCCCUCUUCCAGUCUCCUCUGGAUUAGAGGUCUGUCAUCUCCCUCUUCCAGUCUCCUCUGGAUUAGAGGUCUGUCAUCUCCCUCUUCCAGUCUCCUCUGGAUUAGAGGUCUGUCAUCUCCCUCUUCCAGUCUCCUCUGGAUUAGAGGUCUGUCAUCUCCCUCUUCCAGUCUCCUCUGGAUUAGAGGUCUGUCAUCUCCCUCUUCCAGUCUCCUCUGGAUUAGAGGUCUGUCAUCUCCCUCUUCCAGUCUCCUCUGGAUUAGAGGUCUGUCAUCUCCCUCUUCCAGUCUCCUCUGGAUUAGAGGGUAGAGAGAGUGAACAGGUCUGUCAUGAGGUGAAGGACCCUUUCUGAAAUACCAGACGGACAGAAUGAUACGGACUGCUGCUGUACAAAGGCCUUAUUAUGGUGCUCAUUGCUUCUACCCAACUGUACUCCUAUCAAUGCUACCCAAAACAAUAAGAUUUCUAAAAUAACAACUGUCUGCUCUGAUUGGGGGACUGGGAGUGAAUGUAUGUAGCUUUUAGAUGAUUUAAUUUGUCCCUUUCAUGUUUUACGUUCAAAGCCUUGUUUUCAAUACUACUGUACAUGAUUGAAUAACAGUUGUGAAGAGCUUUAGUGAUACCUAUAAAUUGGGCAGUUUAAACACAGUACUCCACUUGAGCCUUUCCAUUUGGGGGAUUCCCAAAAGUGCUAAAUCAUCUCCAACAAACACAAUGUAGGAAAACAACCUUAAUGCUCAUUCCAGGCUGCAGGCAAGGCUGCCUCCCCCAGGAGUCUCAGUGGGAGGGAAAGAAUGAAAAGAUGCCAAACAUCAGACAUGCUGUUUCUGCUUUGAGAGAAGGAGCACGACGUUCCAAACAUCUGCGAAAUCAAUGAUUCCAAGGGAACUUUUCCAGCAAGGAUGUUUAUUAAUGAGAAUGACUGGAAUGGAAAUUCUAGUUGCUUUGAUAGCAGGGAGGGGAGGCUAGAUCAAAUAUUUUAAAGAUGUUUGGAAUGUAGUUUAAUUAUUUGUAGCAUACAAAUAUGGCAUAUUCCAUAUCUGUGGGAUUUGUGUUUGGGCAACAAUGUGUGUAUCUAAGUAGACGUAAUUAUAUAUUGAAUCUGGAUUCCCCUCAGAGCAAACAUUUUGGCUUUGGGUAUUUUGCAAUGAUUUCCCCAUAGCUAGACCAAAUUACUGAAAUAGCUCAUAGUUGACAUUUUUCACUUGCAUUAUGUCUGUAAAAACAUUAAGUAUAUACUCAUCAUGGUUUGAUACAAUUCCAAAAAUAUUCCCAGUUUCAAUUCUGUCCUGUGUCACCAUCACAUACGUCCACUGAGGAGGACGCAAAGUCUGAUAUCACAUUGUUGGCCAGUGAGUGAAUCUGUGUCUCUGCCUGUUUGUUCACUACACUCACACAGUGGUGACCACGCAGAUAGAAGCGCAGGGGUUUGGUGACCCAUUCCCCAUGAGAGUCAAUGCCGAUCCGGCUUGCUGAGACCACCUCCCUGAGGCCUGGCUCUUGCGGUCCUAUCUGAGUGUCUCUCCAGCCACACCUCUGGGUCUGAGGCAAGGUCUCUCCGGUCGAAGCAGCGCGGUAUGUCCAGGGCCUGGCACAGCUUUGAGGGACCAUUGCAUAGCUCUUUGUCCUUCAGGGGCCUGGCCUCCCCCCUCCGCCUGGCUGUCCGCAGCUGCUUCAUUAGAGGCAGGCCAUGUAGAGACUCCAGAGCCCGCAGAAGCACAGCAGCACCCUCCCCCUAGAGAGAACACACACAGGGAACGAUAGAGUGGAGCCAUAUUAUCUCCUUCCUUUGCCCUUUUUCUCCAGCGUGAAUGAAUGGAUAAUAACAUGGUGCAACAUAUAAUAUAACGUCUUCAAUAAUGAGAAACAGUUGAAAAAAAGAGAACUAUGUCCUAAUGAAAGUAACAUGGGAGAGCCUGGGAGAUGCAACACUACUUAGUCUCUAAUGAGGUGAUUUUCCUACAGAUAAGGCCAACACACUGAACUUUUCUGCGUGUGGUUUUAAUGGCAGUUUGGUUUAUUACUGGUGGUUUGUACCACUACCUUCAGGGUAAGCCUGGCUGUUGUACUGUUUUGUUGUAUGGUCUUACCUUGACUGGAAACAUUCAUACAGAGGUAGAUGCUGUAUAUGGGGUACACAUAGAUGGUGCCGGGUUUCAUAAACAUCACUGUGUUCCUCUCAGUACAUUUUCCCCCAGCAGAGUGAGAGGCUCUGUCCUCUCCCAGGUAGGCCUCAGUCUCCACCACCAUCUGCACUCCGACGCACCAAUACCUUGCAGCACAAACAAGGGAUGGCCUAAAUAAAGACUUUCUUUCAUGUG